rnacentral:tRNA from 1 species
GGAGAGUUGGGUGAGAGGCUGAAACCAGCUCACUGCUAACGAGCCAAACGUUAACGCGUUUCGUGGGUUCGAAUCCCACACUCUCCGCCA